GACGAACGCUGGCGGCGUGCCUAAUACAUGCAAGUAGAACGCUGAAGGAGGAGCUUGCUUCUCUGGAUGAGUUGCGAACGGGUGAGUAACGCGUAGGUAACCUGCCUGGUAGCGGGGGAUAACUAUUGGAAACGAUAGCUAAUACCGCAUAAGAGUAGAUGUUGCAUGACAUUUGCUUAAAAGGUGCAAUUGAAUCACUACCAGAUGGACCUGCGUUGUAUUAGCUAGUUGGUGGGGUAACGGCUCACCAAGGCGACGAUACAUAGCCGACCUGAGAGGGUGAUCGGCCACACUGGGACUGAGACACGGCCCAGACUCCUACGGGAGGCAGCAGUAGGGAAUCUUCGGCAAUGGACGGAAGUCUGACCGAGCAACGCCGCGUGAGUGAAGAAGGUUUUCGGAUCGUAAAGCUCUGUUGUAAGAGAAGAACGAGUGUGAGAGUGGAAAGUUCACACUGUGACGGUAUCUUACCAGAAAGGGACGGCUAACUACGUG
rnacentral:rRNA from 1 species